CCAGACUCCUACGGGAGGCAGCAGUGAGGAAUAUUGGUCAAUGGCCGAGAGGCUGAACCAGCCAAGUCGCGUGAGGGAAGACGGCCCUACGGGUUGUAAACCUCUUUUGUCGGGGAGCAAAGCGAGUCACGUGUGACUCAUUGAGAGUACCCGAAGAAAAAGCAUCGGCUAACUCCGUGCCAGCAGCCGCGGUAAUACGGAAGAUGCGAGCGUUAUCCGGAUUUAUUGGGUUUAAAGGGUGCGCAGGCGGAAUGUCAAGUCAGCGGUAAAAUUUCGGGGCUCAACCCCGUCGUGCCGUUGAAACUGGCGUUCUUGAGUGGAAGAGAAGUAUGCGGAAUGCGUGGUGUAGCGGUGAAAUGCAUAGAUAUCACGCAGAACCCCGAUUGCGAAGGCAGCAUGCCGGCUUCCGACUGACGCUGAAGCACGAAAGCGUGGGGAUCGAACAGGAUUAGAUACCCGUGUAC
rnacentral:rRNA from 1 species